rnacentral:rRNA from 1 species
GACGAACGCUGGCGGCGCGCCUAACACAUGCAAGUCGAGCGAGAACCGGGCCUUCGGGCCCGGGGACAGCGGCGAACGGGUGAGUAACGCGUGGGCAACCUGCCCUCGGCACUGGGAUAGCCCGGGGAAACCCGGAUUAAUACCGGAUAGCCUCCGGAGCCUUCGGGCGCCGGAAGAAAGGUGGCUUCGGCAUCCGGCCGAGGAGGGGCCCGCGGCGGAUUAGCUUGUUGGUGGGGUAAUGGCCCACCAAGGCGACGAUCCGUAGCUGGUCGGAGAGGACGAGCAGCCACACUGGGACUGAGACACGGCCCAGACUCCUACGGGAGGCAGCAGUGGGGAAGCUUGCGCAAUGGGCGAAAGCCUGACGCAGCGACGCCGCGUGCGGGAAGAAGGCCUUCGGGUUGUAAACCGCUUUCAGGAGGGACGAAGCCACUCGGGUGAACAGCCCAGAGGGUGACGGUACCUCCAGAAGAAGCCCCGGCUAACUACGUGCCAGCCGCCGCAGUAA